rnacentral:rRNA from 1 species
GACGAACGCUGGCGGCGUGCUUAACACAUGCAAGUCGAACGGAAAGUCCCUGCUUUUGUGCGCUGCUCUAGUGACGAACGGGUGAGUAACACUUGAGUAACCUGCCCUUGACUGUGGGGUAACUUCAUGAAGCUUGGUCUAAUACCGGAUAGGAUCUCCUGCUUCAUGGUGGGGGUGGGAAAGUUUCGGCGGUUGGGGAUGGACUCGCGUCUUAUCAGCUUGUUGGUGGGGUAGUGUAUUAGCAAGGCUUGGACGGGUAGCCGGGCUGAGAGGGUGACCGGCCACAUUGGGACUGAGAUACGGCACAGACUCCUCUGGGACGCAGGAGAGGAGAAGAGUGCAUUAUGGGAGGAGGGAUGAUGCAGUCCAGCAGCGUGGGGGAUGACGGCAAGCGGGUUGUAAACCGCAUUCGUCUGUGACGAAGCGUGAGUGACGGUAAUGGGUAAAGAAGCACCGGCUAACUCCGUG